GACGAACGCUGGCGGCGUGCUUAACACAUGCAAGUCGAACGGUGAUGCUCCAGCUUGCUGGAGUGGAUCAGUGGCGAACGGGUGAGUAACACGUGAGCAACCUGCCCCAGACUCUGGAAUCAGCGCUGGAAACGGCGUCUAAUACUGGAUACGAAACUGGCCCGCAUGGGCAUGGUUUGGAAAGUUUUUCGGUUUGGGAUGGGCUCGCGGCCUAUCAGCGUGUUGGUGAGGUAAUGGCUCACCAAGGCGACGACGGGUAGCCGGCCUGAGAGGGCGACCGGCCACACGGGGACUAAGACACGGCCCAGACGCCUACGGGAGGCAGCAGUGGGGAGUAUUGCACAAUGGGCGAAAGCCUGAUGCAGAGACGCCGCGUGAGGGGUGACGGCCUUCGGGUUGUAAACCUCUUUCAGCAGGGAAGAAGCGAAAGUGACGGUACCUGCAGAAGAAGCACGGGGUAACUACGUG
rnacentral:rRNA from 1 species